CCCAGAUUGGUGUAAUGGUAGCACAUUUCGGAGUCACCAGGAAAGCCUACUGCGCGGAACUGGCCCUUCGGGGGCGGAAGAAUCCAGGUUCGAGUCCUGGAUCUGGGA